rnacentral:lncRNA from 1 species
GUCUUUCUGAGUUGGGUAGACCCAGAGGCUGGAGUAGAAUGGACCAAAGCGGGAGGCAUAUUCUUACCUUAACUCUUUGUCCCCACUAGGCCCGUAUGGUGGCUGCGGCCACCAACAAUCUGUGUGAAGCAGCCAAUGCAGCUGUCCAGGGCCAUGCUAGCCAGGAGAAACUCAUUUCUUCAGCCAAGCAAGUAGCUGCCUCCACAGCCCAGCUCCUGGUCGCUUGCAAGGUCAAAGCAGAUCAGGACUCAGAGGCAAUGAAGAGGCUUCAGGUAAGAAAGUGAUGACCCGGGAUUGGGGAUUUGGCUCAGUGGCAGAGCGCUUGCCUAGGAAGCGCAAGGCCCUGGGUUCGGUCCCCAGCUCUGAAAA